AACGAACGCUGGCGGCAUGCCUAACACAUGCAAGUCGAACGAGACCUUUGGGUCUAGUGGCGCACGGGUGCGUAACGCGUGGGAACCUGCCCUUAGGUUCGGAAUAACUCCCCGAAAGGGGUGCUAAUACCGGAUAAUGUCUUCGGACCAAAGAUUUAUCGCCUUUGGAUGGGCCCGCGUUGGAUUAGCUAGUUGGUAGGGUAAAAGCCUACCAAGGCGACGAUCCAUAGCUGGUCUGAGAGGAUGAUCAGCCACACUGGGACUGAGACACGGCCCAGACUCCUACGGGAGGCAGCAGUGGGGAAUAUUGGACAAUGGGCGAAGGCCUGAUCCAGCAAUGCCGCGUGAGUGAUGAAGGCCUUAGGGUUGUAAAGCUCUUUUACCCGGGAUGAUAAUGACAGUACCGGGAGAAUAAGCUCCGGCUAACUCCGUG
rnacentral:rRNA from 1 species